AUUCACCAGGUUGAUUCUGCCUGACGUGGAUGCUAGUCUCAUAGAUUUAGCCAUGCAUGUGUAAGCGAAGCGAUUAGUGGAGCGGCGGAAGGCUCAGUAACGGGCGAGUAUUUAAUCUCCAGAACCGGACAACCUCAGGAAACAGAGGGGAAAACGGAGUAAAAGCAUGUUUUAUGCAUGUGAUGAUAACGAUAGUGCAGGAGAGUAAGAAGCCAUCCCAUCAGUUAGUAAGUAGGGUAAGGGCCUAUUUAGACGAAGACGGGUACGGGGGAUUAGGGUUUGAUUCCGGAGAGGGAGCCUGAGAGACGGCUACCAGGUCCAAGGACAGCAGCAGGCGCGAAAAUUACCGAAGCCUCCAAGAGGGCGGUAGUGAAGAGACGUGAAUUUAAGUGUGUGUAAAAAGCACGCGAGUAACUGGAGGUCAAGGCUGGUGCCAGCAUCCGCGGUAAUACCAGCUCCAGGAGUGUCUAUGAUGAUUGCUGCGAUUAAAAGGUCCGUAGUCGAAGAACAAUACUUGUUUGUAAUGUGGUCUAUCAAGGACCAAAUAGAACGAGAAGAGUUCUGAAUAGGAGCGAAGGAGGGCUAGAUUAUUGAGCAGCGAGAGGUGAAAUUUGAUGACCUGCUUAGGAGUAACAGAGGCGAAAGCGCUAGUCAAGAGCGAAUCCGAUGAUCAAGGACGUAGGCUGGAGGAUCGAAGACGAUUAGAGACCGUAGUAGUUCCAGCAGUAAACGAUGCCAACACUGUUGUGGAGAUUGCACGACAGAAGAGAAAUCUAGUAGGGCUUUGGGGAGAGUACGCGCGCAAGCGAUAAAUUUAAAGGAAAUUGACGGAAGCUCACCACA
rnacentral:rRNA from 1 species